rnacentral:rRNA from 1 species
UCUGCUCAAUGAUAUUAAAUUAAAUAGCCGCAGUAUUUUGACUGUGCGAAGGUAGCAUAAUCAAUAGUUUUUUAAUUGAAGACUGGAAUGAAUGAGGGGAUGAAAUUUUAACUGUCUCAGUUUUAAUAAUAGAAAUUUAAUUUAAGUAAGAAUUCUUAAAUUAUUUAAAGGGACGAGAAGACCCUAUAGAAUUUUAAAUUUAAUUAUUUAUUAUUUAAUUAAUUUAAUUUAAAUAAUAAAUAAUUAAGUUUUUUAUUGGGAGGAUAAUUAAAUUUAAUUAACUUUAUUUUAAUUAGGACAAUAAUGUUUGAUUUUUUGAGAUAAAAUUUAUUUUUUAAAAGAUAAAUUACCUUAGGGAUAACAGCGUAAUAUUUUUGGAGAGAUCUUAUUAAUAAAAAUGUUUGCGACCUCGAUGUUGAAUUAAAAUAAAAUUUGAAUGAAGAAGUUCAAUAUUUA